UGAGUAUGGAUGGGCGUUGUGCAGCCUCU
rnacentral:piRNA from 1 species